UACGUAGGGAGCAAGCGUUGUCCGGAAUCAUUGGGCGUAAAGCGCGCGUAGGUGGCCUCAUAAGUCCGUUGUGAAAGUCAAAGGCUCAACCUUUGAAAGCCGAUGGAUACUGUGAGACUAGAGUACGGAAGAGGCGAGUGGAAUUCCUGGUGUAGCGGUGGAAUGCGCAGAUAUCAGGAGGAACACCGGUGGCGAAGGCGGGUCUCUGGGCCGAUACUGACGCUGAGGAGCGAAAGCGUGGGGAGCAAACAGG
rnacentral:rRNA from 1 species